AGUGAACGCUGGCGGUAGGCCUAACACAUGCGAGUCGAACGGCAGCACAGUAAGAGCUUGCUCUUACGGGUGGCGAGUGGCGGACGGGUGAGGAAUACAUCGGAAUCUACUUUUUCGUGGGGGAUAACGUAGGGAAACUUACGCUAAUACCGCAUACGACCUACGGGUGAAAGCAGGGGAUCUUCGGACCUUGCGCGAUUGAAUGAGCCGAUGUCGGAUUAGCUAGUUGGCGGGGUAAAGGCCCACCAAGGCGACGAUCCGUAGCUGGUCUGAGAGGAUGAUCAGCCACACUGGAACUGAGACACGGUCCAGACUCCUACGGGAGGCAGCAGUGGGGAAUAUUGGACAAUGGGCGCAAGCCUGAUCCAGCCAUACCGCGUGGGUGAAGAAGGCCUUCGGGUUGUAAAGCCCUUUUGUUGGGAAAGAAAAGCAGCAGGUUAAUAACCCGCUGUUCUGACGGUACCCAAAGAAUAAGCACCGGCUAACUUCGUG
rnacentral:rRNA from 1 species